AUGGUAUCAAGACCAAACAAACCUUAAUAUAUAGGGAAUCCAAGGGUACAGUCGAAGGAGACACUGUCUUCCAGCAACUGGGCGAUGUGUUGGCAGAGCCUUGUCAGAUUGAACACUGGUCCUAAACUGGGAUUCAUAGGUGGUCAGAGCAGACUUCGUGUAAAAGCGUGGCUGGUGGAUAAUAGAGCUGGUGGCCCUCUAGAGCCACGAGGAAGAGAACAGGUUUGGGAAAUUUCGCACAGCCAAGAGUUUGGUAGGAAUUGUUAGGAAGUCAGGCAGCAAUUCCUCCAGAUUAAUAAGAAGCGAGCCUUAGCUACUCUAAGCAGUGUUAACAGCUGUUUGUGGGGCCUAGAGAGAUUGCUUAGCAAUGAAGAGUGCUUGCUGAAUUUGCAAAGCAUCUGAAUUUGGUUCCUCACUCCAGCAUCCAGUAGCUAACAACUAGCUCCAGCUCCGGCUCCAGCGGCUGCCUCUGAGGGCGUAUAUGUAUAUGUAUAUGUAUAUGUAUAUGUAUAUGUAUAUGUAUAUAUACAUACAUAUAUAUGUAUAUAUACACACACAUACAUACACACACAUAUAUAUGUAUAUAUAUACAUAUAUAUACACAUAUAUAUACAUAUAUAUAUAUAUACAUAUAUAUAUACAUAUAUAUAUACAUAUAUAUAUAUGGUCUAUGUUUUCAGAAAGUAUAGAGACAAAGGUUCUUGGGGGAAAGUGCUCUUGUGUGUGUGUGUGCGAGAUGUGUCUGUGUAACAGGGUUCUGUGUUGCUCAAACUGACAUUGUACUUGCAUUAUUGAGUGCCUGGUGUGGUGGUUUGAAUAGGAAUGCCCCCCCCCCCCGACUUGUGGAUUUUAAAACCUGGUCACCAGGGCAUGCCACCAUUUGAAAGGAUUAGGAGAUGUUGGAGGAAGUGUGUCAAUGGAGGUAGGUUCUGAGGGCUCAAGGACCCAAGUUAGGCCCAGCAUCUUUUUCUUCCUACUGCCUGUGGAUCUGGCUGUAGAACUCUGAGGGUCUUCUCUAGCACCACGGCUGCUUAUAUGUCACCACGCUACCUCCUAUGACCACAAUGGACUACACCUCUGAAACUCUUGCCUUGUGGGACUGAGCAACUGCUAGAUCCUUGGACUUCCAUUCACAGCUGCUGCUGACCAUUGUUGGGAGUUGGACUACAGACUAGAUGCUACACACUGAGUGAAUCACUUUGCUGGUUUCAGGAGAGAUCCCAGCCAAGAGGAGUGAAUACCACUCACAGGGGCAAAGGCAAGUGACCUGCUUGGAGAAACAGUCCACCUGCCCCGAGGAGAGCCGAACACCUUCACACCUUUUUCCUCUUCAUCCAAAGACUAAAAACUAGAUCCAGUCCCUCCCAAAGGCAAAGGAAGAUGGAAGACUAUCAAGUGGAUGAAGUUUCCCAGCCUGCAAACUCAUCAUAGCCUUGGCCUAGCAUCUUACCCAUCCUCCCUCCUCCAUCAUCUGAUGUAGGACUUGCUAUAAAUUGAUGCCUCCUACCUGUCAAUGCAAGAGAAGAUAGCACCCAGUGAAGCACCUUUCUGUUUUAGUUUGACAAUAAAUCUAUUCUGUCUC
rnacentral:lncRNA from 1 species